rnacentral:rRNA from 1 species
CCCUUAGAUGUUCUGGGCCGCACGCGUGCUACACUGACCGGCGCAACAAGUUUCUUUCCUUGGCUCGAUAGGCCUGGGUAAUCUUUGAACGCCGGUCGUGAUGGGGAUAGAUCCUUGCAAUUUUUGAUCUUCAACGAGGAAUUCCUAGUAAAUGCGAGUCAUCAUCUCGCGUUGAUUACGUCCCUGCCCUUUGUACACACCGCCCGCCGCACCUACCGAUUGAAUGGUCCGGUGAAGCCUCGGGAUUGCGAAUGCUUCGUGCGGACGCGAGAACUUGGCUAAACCUUACCAUUUAGAGGAAGGUGAAGUCGUAACA